AGGACGAACGCUGGCGGCGUGCUUAACACAUGCAAGUCGAGCGGUAAGGCUCCUUCGGGAGUACACGAGCGGCGAACGGGUGAGUAACACGUGAGCAAUCUGCCCUUCACACGGGGAUAACUCCGGGAAACCGGUGCUAAUACCCGAUACGACCACCUCAGGCAUCUGAUGGUGGUGGAAAGUUCCGGCGGUGAAGGAUGAGCUCGCGGCCUAUCAGCUUGUUGGUGGGGUAAAGGCCCACCAAGGCAACGACGGGUAGCCGGCCUGAGAGGGUGACCGGCCACACUGGGACUGAGACACGGCCCAGACUCCUACGGGAGGCAGCAGUGGGGAAUAUUGGACAAUGGGCGAAAGCCUGAUCCAGCAACGCCGCGUGAGGGAUGACGGCCUUCGGGUUGUAAACCUCUUUCAGCAGGGACGAAGCGCAAGUGACGGUACCUGCAGAAGAAGCACCGGCCAACUACGUGCCAGCAGCCGC
rnacentral:rRNA from 1 species